CUAAACAACUUCUUGCAGUGCCAUGUAGGAGCGUGGCUGUUUGGAAAGUUUGCUUAAGCCAAGGUUACCAGGGGAUACGAAAAUCCCAACCGCAAAGACUUAAUGCGUAAACAGCAUUAGAUUUAUUCGAUGCAAUCAGCCCUCCUCAAAGCCAAGGGGAACAGAAUAAGGGUCAUUAACUGCACAGCCAGAGCAGGAUGGGGAAAUAAGGCAGCAAUAAACAGAGACAGCCCUGGACUGUGGGUGAGACCAAGCGCUCUGCUAUGAUCUUUACAGCAGAUUUUCAGCUGCCUGAGAGCAUGAGGUACUUUAUAGAACAGAGAUGCAGUCGUUCUGCCUUUGGCUGGACAAGCCAAGCCCUUCUCAUCUCAGGAAAAGUCCUCCUGCUUCUCAUCCUUGGAGUUUUUCUCUCUACAAACAUGCAAGUUUGAGUGCCUCUUCACAUGUUAAAAAACAGACUUGCAGGCAAUGUGUUAGGUAACGCUUCAUAACACUGUGUCAUCAGUGUAUUUCAUUACUGCUGUCCUACUUGUGUCAGGGCGCUAACGAAAAUAUUAUUAAACGAAAUCAACCCCCAGGUUAACCUUUGAAAAACUCCCUCCAAAGAAAGAUUCUUCUUCGACCUUGAAAAGAAUCCAAUUCUGAGACCUUGAGAUCCCCAAAGUGGCAUCUUCAGUGACCUGUGAAAAAUUUACAGAUGAAAAAUGAUCUCUCACAACAUGUCAAGGUGACUAGAAAAGGCCAAUAAGUCAUUAAGGAAUUUUGGCAAGGUGAAGACAACAAAUAAGCCCUGUUCAGAAAAAAAAAAUCAUAUUUUUUUGUAUAGCAAGAAAAUUGCUGUUGGUAAAACGGGAACAAGAUAAUCAUCUGCUGCAGAUUUUUUUUUCCCUGGUCUUUCUAAAGCUUGGCUUGGAAGUCCACUGCUUUAUGAACUGUAUUCUCCCUGGUCAACCCAAGCUCAUUGAUCUGUUUCCUGGGCCUCCUGGGAAGGCAGUUAUCAGUUAUGACUUUGCUGUGACGAGUUGCUGUGUAACUACAAGCCCCAGGCUAGACAUGACGAAGAUAAGCGAGGUUCCCAGAGCUCUGCUGAUUGAAGAGAUGAAGCAAGAGUAAUGAAUCUCAUCUGGACGAAAUCUGCCUGGACACUACCAGUCUCCCGAGCCCUGUCUUCACACUGCUCAAAUAUGGCAACAACAUUGGAAAGCUUUUCCUAGGAGGUCUGAUUUACUGAAGAGGAUCAUCUUGGGCUCCUUAGGAAGUCUAAUAAAGUACAAGCCCUUGAGUUGCACCAGUGGUUUUUUUCUACUGCAUUCCAGUGCCAGCACAUACUUGUCUGUGAUGUAAUUAUUUUCCAUUAAUAAAUCCACAGCCCCUGCUGGAUUUUACUGCUGUUACGCUUGCGAAAAUGUUACAAUGCUAAUGCAGCCCUGCUCGAUUCAUAUAUCUUGACAGUGUGAAAUAUUGGCCUUCUAAGUGUAGAUUUCCCAAGGUAUUUAAGCGUUCCACGCUCCUCAGACUAAUGGACAUCUUGUUAAAUCUGUUCAGACUUCACUUCUGGUUUGGCUGAUGCCACAAUCCUAUGGUGUAGUGGAGAGGUGUCCCUGUGUUUUCGUUUAACGCCAUCAGCUUGCUACUGGAUUCCCCUCUUCCAGGGCUUGUCGCUAAUGGAGAUGUAACUGUAUUUUUGCUGCACGGAAAGUAAAAACAUCCUUUUUAUUAUGUAAAAGCAGUCUGUUGAGUGCACCACCAGCAGCAGUUUUAACAGCUGAUUGCUUGUUCUGAUCCUCAAGAGUGAGGUUUUACAAGAUGGCUUGGUUUAAGAGCAGCGCAGAGGGAAAACCAUAUCUUUGGGGUGUGCUCUGCACGGCCUCCUUGUACACAGGAUAUUGGAGAAUGAGGUACGUACUAUGCUCUUAAAAUAGAGCCUUUGAAACUGGCACGGGAUGCUCAGUCUUGUCCAAGUAUCAUCAAUCACAGUUACGACUCUCAGACAAAAUGAGCCUCGACUUCAUGCUGCUUGUUAAAAUAAGAAAUGUACAUUUCAGUGUUUCAUUUUCAGCUGCACUCACUGUGCUUCACAGCGUAGCCAAAACUAACGUUUGUGAA